CUUAGCACAGCACUUAGCACAAAGUAGGCAUAACCAGCUCUUACCCAGACCUUGCCAUAUGCCAGGAGAGUGCUGGGGAUGACAUCACAGAGCCAGCUCACGUGUUCUGCUGCUGGGAUUCCAAAAGCUGGAAGCAUACCUGUUAAAUAAGCCUGUUCAGUGCCUUUAUGAUCACUGCAAACAUCAAUCAUUGAAACCACCAUUAUACUAGUUCCAGCAUCUCUUACCUGGGUCCCCUCAAGCCAAGGAUUUGUUGCCCACGGCCAACAGCCUGCCGCUGGCACCCCCUUCUGAACCUCCUCCAAGAGCACGCACAUCCCAGGGCAGCCCCAGCCAGAGACUGACAGACAGGAGGCCGAAGUCCCGGUCAUUCGGCCGAUGUGGGCCGUCUACACUCAACGUGGGGCUCGUUGAGGUGCUGGCAGCCUGCGUCCCAGCUAGACUUCCUCCUCUACGCCCCUCUGCUGCCUCUCCUGCCCUCCCACAGGGAUUUGUCCCUAAUAAAUGCCCUGCCCAUCACA